CAGUAGCCGCGGUAAUACGGAGGGAGCUAGCGUUGUUCGGAAUUACUGGGCGUAAAGCGCACGUAGGCGGUUAUUCAAGUCAGAAGUGAAAGCCCGGGGCUCAACCCCGGAACUGCCUUUGAAACUAGAUGACUAGAAUCUUGGAGAGGUCAGUGGAAUUCCGAGUGUAUAGGUGAAAUUCGUAGAUAUUCGGAAGAACACCAGUGGCGAAGGCGACUGACUGGACAAGUAUUGACGCUGAGGUGCAAAAGCGUGGGGAGCAAACAGGAUUAGAGACCCCGGUAGUCCCUGUCUCUUAUAC
rnacentral:rRNA from 1 species